AGUGAACGCUGGCGGUAGGCCUAACACAUGCAAGUCGAACGGCAGCACAGUAAGAGCUUGCUCUUACGGGUGGCGAGUGGCGGACGGGUGAGGAAUACAUCGGAAUCUACUUUUUCGUGGGGGAUAACGUAGGGAAACUUACGCUAAUACCGCAUACGACCUACGGGUGAAAGCAGGGGAUCUUCGGACCUUGCGCGAUUGAAUGAGCCGAUGUCGGAUUAGCUAGUUGGCGGGGUAAAGGCCCACCAAGGCGACGAUUCGUAGCUGGUCUGAGAGGAUGAUCAGCCACACUGGAACUGAGACACGGUCCAGACUCCUACGGGAGGCAGCAGUGGGGAAUAUUGGACAAUGGGCGCAAGCCUGAUCCAGCCAUACCGCGUGGGUGAAGAAGGCCUUCGGGUUGUAAAGCCCUUUUGUUGGGAAAGAAAAGCAGCAGGUUAAUACCCCGCUGUUCUGACGGGACCCAAAGAAUAAGCACCGGCUAACUUCGU
rnacentral:rRNA from 1 species